GGCUUCGACGAGACUCUGGGUCACCUCCCACCCGUGUUUAUUUUACCUUGUUGCUUCGGCGGGCCCGCCUUAACUGGCCGCCGGGGGGCUUACGCCCCCGGGCCCGCGCCCGCCGAAGACACCCUCGAACUCUGUCUGAAGAUUGUAGUCUGAGUGAAAAUAUAAAUUAUUUAAAACUUUCAACAACGGAUCUCUUGGUUCCGGCAUCGAUGAAGAACGCAGCGAAAUGCGAUACGUAAUGUGAAUUGCAAAUUCAGUGAAUCAUCGAGUCUUUGAACGCACAUUGCGCCCCCUGGUAUUCCGGGGGGCAUGCCUGUCCGAGCGUCAUUGCUGCCCUCAAGCACGGCUUGUGUGUUGGGCCCCGUCCUCCGAUCCCGGGGGACGGGCCCGAAAGGCAGCGGCGGCACCGCGUCCGGUCCUCGAGCGUAUGGGGCUUUGUCACCCGCUCUGUAGGCCCGGCCGGCGCUUGCCGAUCAACCCAAAUUUUUAUCCAGGUUGACCUCGGAUCAGGUAGGGAUACCCGCUGAACUUAAGCAUAUCAAUAAGCAGGAGGAA
rnacentral:rRNA from 1 species